AGGUGCUGCAUGGCUGUCGUCAGCUCGUGUCGUGAGAUGUUGGGUUAAGUCCCGCAACGAGCGCAACCCUUGUCAUUAGUUGCUACGAAAGGGCACUCUAAUGAGACUGCCGGUGACAAACCGGAGGAAGGUGGGGAUGACGUCAAGUCCUCAUGGCCCUUAUGGGUAGGGCUUCACACGUCAUACAAUGGUACAUACAGAGCGCCGCCAACCCGCGAGGGGGAGCUAAUCGCAGAAAGUGUAUCGUAGUCCGGAUUGUAGUCUGCAACUCGACUGCAUGAAGUUGGAAUCGCUAGUAAUCGCGGAUCANCAUGUCGCGGUGAAUACGUUCCCGGGU
rnacentral:rRNA from 1 species